UUGGAGAGGUUGAUCCUGGCUCAGGACGAACGCUGGCGGCGUGCCUAAUACAUGCAAGUCGAGCGGACAGAUGGGAGCUUGCUCCCUGAUGUUAGCGGCGGACGGGUGAGUAACACGUGGGUAACCUGCCUGUAAGACUGGGAUAACUCCGGGAAACCGGGGCUAAUACCGGAUGGUUGUUUGAACCGCAUGGUUCAAACAUAAAAGGUGGCUUCGGCUACCACUUACAGAUGGACCCGCGGCGCAUUAGCUAGUUGGUGAGGUAACGGCUCACCAAGGCGACGAUGCGUAGCCGACCUGAGAGGGUGAUCGGCCACACUGGGACUGAGACACGGCCCAGACUCCUACGGGAGGCAGCAGUAGGGAAUCUUCCGCAAUGGACGAAAGUCUGACGGAGCAACGCCGCGUGAGUGAUGAAGGUUUUCGGAUCGUAAAGCUCUGUUGUUAGGGAAGAACAAGUACCGUUCGAAUAGGGCGGUACCUUGACAGGUACCUAACCAGAAAGACCCGCCUCGGGCGCUU
rnacentral:rRNA from 1 species